GCAAAGUGAUAACAACCUCAUUCCGAUAAGGAAAGUUACGCAGUGGUCGAUUUGUAGGAGUUAAAAUGUUGGAGAAGCCUAAAGCUAAUGGACAAGAUUUCAUAAGUGAGGUAGCUACUAUUGGAAGGAUUCACCAUUUUAAUAUGGUUCAACUUGUUGGUUAUUGUGUUGAGGGAUC